GAAUGUGUUGUGGAUUUUUUUUUUCCUCAAUGACGGUACUUAAAUCUAAAUCUAUUUUUGCAUCAAAAAUUGCAAACGAGAGAGGGAGAUUUAACAAUCGACUAAACAAAUAGACAUCAUUUCAUUACAAAUCCUGUUAGAAAAGAAAAGAGGAAGUUAAUGAGCAAGUACCGCAAAGUUAAUUGCAAGAGAAAUUAAAUAAAGAAAGGGGAAAGAGAUUAUUUCAUACAUCUGGCUUGCCAAGGAGACCUUGAAGUUGCUGAACUGUAUAAGUUGUUGUGAUAGAUGGAUACACCU
rnacentral:misc_RNA from 1 species